rnacentral:rRNA from 1 species
UCGAACGAAGCACCUGAGAAUGAUUCUUCGGAUGAAGUCUCUUGUGACUGAGUGGCGGACGGGUGAGUAACGCGUGGGUAACCUGCCUCACACAGGGGGAUAACAGUUGGAAACGACCGCUAAUACCGCAUAACCCGCUGGUGCCGCAUGGCACUGACGGAAAAGAUUUUAUCGGUGUGAGAUGGACCCGCGUCUGAUUAGCCAGUUGGCAGGGUAACGGCCUACCAAAGCGACGAUCAGUAGCCGGCCUGAGAGGGUGAACGGCCACAUUGGGACUGAGACACGGCCCAGACUCCUGCGGGAGGCAGCAGUGGGGAAUAUUGCACAAUGGGGGAAACCCUGAUGCAGCGACGCCGCGUGAGUGAAGAAGUAUUUCGGUAUGUAAAGCUCUAUCAGCAGGGAAGAAAAUGACGGUACCUGAUUAAGAAGCCCCGGCUAACUACGUGCCAGCAGCCGCGGUAAUACGUAGGGGGCAAGCGUUAUCCGGAUUUACUGGGUGUAAAGGGAGCGUAGACGGUGAUGCAAGUCAGAAGUGAAAGCCCGGGGCUCAACUCCGGGACUGCUUUUGAAACUGUGUGACUGGAGUGCAGGAGAGCCACCCCGAAUUCCUGGUGUAGCGAUGAAAUGGGUAGCUUUCUGGGAAAAAAANAGNGGNGAAGGNGGNNNANNGGAAAGNAANNGANGNNGAGGCUCAAAAACGAGGGAACCCCCUGAUGUUUAGAUNNNNNNNNNANUNCAAACAAAAAAGGGGUCGCUCGGACUUGUCGGGGAGCAAAGCUCUUCGGUGCCGCAGCAAACGCAUUAAAUAUUCCACCUGGGGAGUACGUUCGCAAGAAUGAAACUCAAAGGAAUUGACGGGGACCCGCACAAGCGGUGGAGCAUGUGGUUUAAUUCGAAGCAACGCGAAGAACCUUACCAGGUCUUGACAUCCCUCUGACCGGGAUUUAAUCAUCCCUUUCCUUCGGGACAGAGGAGACAGGUGGUGCAUGGUUGUCGUCAGCUCGUGUCGUGAGAUGUUGGGUUAAGUCCCGCAACGAGCGCAACCCUUACCUUCAGUAGCCAGCGGUUCGGCCGGGCACUCUGGAGGGACUGCCAGGGACAACCUGGAGGAAGGUGGGGAUGACGUCAAAUCAUCAUGCCCCUUAUGAUCUGGGCUACACACGUGCUACAAUGGCGUAAACAAAGGGAAGCGAGACAGUGAUGGCAAGCAAAUCUCAGAAAUAACGUCUCAGUUCGGAUUGCAGUCUGCAACUCGACUGCAUGAAGCUGGAAUCGCUAGUAAU